CAUGCACAGUAUUAGAGCUUGGAGUUGAGACCUCUGGCUGGCUGAGGAACUGGCAAGUAUAGGUAGGUAGUGUGCUACAUGAGGGGCAAGUCUUUCGCUAACACCACAAGGGUCUCUGGCCCAAUGAGUAGAGUUUGAUAGUAAUUCUUGCUACAAGU
rnacentral:snoRNA from 1 species